rnacentral:misc_RNA from 1 species
AUAAAAACACACACACACACACACUUUUACAUUUGGAAGAUUGUUAACAUUCACAAACACAUACACAAACUUCAUUACAGUGAAUCAGCACUAUCCCCUUUUACGUUGAUUUGUCUUAUUUUGAAUGAACUACCGCAUCAACAAGUAACACAAAAGGUUUAGGAUUUUAGGUGACCAUUGCAUUAAUAGCAUAGCUAAUUUUGUAUGCUAACUGUAAUUAUAUAGGAAUCCAAUACUUGUAUUCUUG